GAUGAAGAACGUAGCGAAAUGCGAAAAGUAAUGUGAAUUGCAGAAUUCAGUGAAUCAUCGAAUCUUUGAACGCACAUUGCGCCCGCCAGUAUUCUGGCGGGCAUGCCUGUCCGAGCGUCAUUUCAACCCUCGAACCCCUCCGGGGGGUCGGCGUUGGGGACCUCGGGAGCCCCUAAGACGGGAUCCCGGCCCCGAAAUACAGUGGCGGUCUCGCCGCAGCCUCUCCUGCGCAGUAGUUUGCACAACUCGCACCGGGAGCGCGGCGCGUCCACGUCCGUAAAACACCCAACUUCUGAAAUGUUGACCUCGGAUCAGGUAGGAAUACCCGCUGAACUUAAGCAUAUCAAUAAGCGGAGGA
rnacentral:misc_RNA from 1 species